UUGCCAGAUUUGAUUUCCCAGCAAGUUCCUGAGCUCCUUAAAAAGACAGGAAAUAAAAGGACUACUGUUAGUCCAUACUUGGCAUAAAUAAUCUCAAAUUUUAGAGAUGCUAAGGUAUCCCAUGAGCCCUUCUUAAUCCGCCCCCCCACCCCGGGAUUUGCAAACAUGGGCUCAAGAAUCAGUAGGUGGCUUUUGAACUCAGACUUUCAAAGCAGUACCUAUUUGAGCUUUGCUAUGGCCCUCUGCUGCAGGAGCACAACCUCCUGUUUGCUUGGUGGUGUGGGGAGAGCAGGUGACUCACUGGCUGGCCUGUGUCUAUAAGGAGAGCAGGUUGGCUUCAUCAUCACCACUCUCCAAGGCUUGCUUGCUGCAGUAUAUACUUGCUGGCCAUUGCAUCAGUUCUUUAACUUCUUGCACUUCUUUGUUAUUUGUUCUGUAACAAAAUUUCAUUAAUUUUUUUUACAGUUUUGUAUUUCCCACAGUUUUGGAGGUGAAAAAGUCGAGUAUUGAGGAGGAAGCAGAGUCUGCACCUGAGAGGCACUUCCUUGCUCAUAGGUGUUGUCUUCCUGCCAUGUCUUCACACAUUAGAAGGAAGGAGGGAUUUAUUUCCUUAUGAAACAUAAAUGUCACUGCUGUCUUC